GAGAAUUGAGUCCUGUGCAUUUUUGGCACAAUGUUUUGGGUUCCUGUGAUUUUCUUCCUCGGGGCGCUUUUUUCAGGUUCAGAGUCUCAGCUAGUUGUGACGCAACCCCCUUUCAUCAACGCACUCCCAGGAGUGACAGUUAAACUCUCAUGCACUGUGAGCAGUGACUACAGCAUCAGUAGAGAUAGGGUGCGAUGGUUCCAGCAGAAAUCAGAGGGCCCCCCACGAUUUGUAUACCACUACUACACCAGUAGCGACCAAAACAGGGGCUCAGGGGUCCCAGAGAGAUUCAGUGUCUCCGCUGAUUCUUCCAAGAACCUCUGGAAUCUAGUGAUCACAGGAGUUCAAGCUGAAGAUGAGGCUGAGUAUUACUGCAACACUUGGGACAACAGGUACAACGUGUAUCACUGUGAUCCAUCCUUAUGGGGAACUGAGAGAAGAACCUCUCACUUCUGUUUUCUUUAA